UUUAGUAGGAUUUAUAUUAAAGCAAAAGGAAGUUUUAUAAAUGAUGCCUUGAUUUCGAAUAUUCACUUCAUCUUUUGUAUAAACGCGAUUUUUCGAAAAAAUUUUUAAAUGCACUUCUUUUAAUUCCACAUCAAAUUUAAAAUUCUCAGAGCAUUUUGCUCACAUUAAACGCCACGAUACACUUCGUCGGUACCUAUACCUUUAACGCACUGCUGU